rnacentral:misc_RNA from 1 species
UCACUACUUGCGUAGGCAGUCCACGCCGUAAACGAUGGAUACUAGCUGUUGGAGGUAUCGACCCCUUCAGUAGCGAAGCUAACGCGUUAAGUAUCCCGCCUGUGGAGUACGGUCGCAAGACUAAAACAUAAAGGAAUUGACGGGGACCCGCACAAGUAGCGGAUCAUGUUCUUUAAUUCGAUGAUAACCGAAGAACCUUACCAGGGUUUGACAUCCUUGGAAUUACUCCGAAAGGAGUGAGUGCUUUAUUGAGCCAAGUGACAGAUGAUGCAUGGCCGUCGUCAGCUCGUGUCGUGAGAUGUUAGGUUAAGUCCUUUAACGAGCGCAACCCUUGUGAAUAGUUGUAUUUUUCUAUUCAGACUGCCCCGGUAACGGGGAGGAAGGUGGGGAUGACGUUACG